AAAUAAAAAAAAAUUACUAAUUUUUUCCAGGGAAAAUAUAAGCAGAACUAUCCUGAUUCUGCCACCAAAAUCAAACAACUUAUCCUUAUGUUUCAGUUUCUUCUCUGCAGUAUGAGGAUAGAGAUAUUGCAGUUUUUGUGAGGUGGUUUGAGAGCUACAACUGUAAGUGCAAGCUAACACAGCAGUGCUUUCCUUUGAUGCUGAAUGCUGAGCAUGAUGCAGGACUAAGAAGUUACUGGGUAAAUAAUAGCAUAUGAGAGUCAUAGAUAAUGACAUUUGUGUUUUUAUGCAAUGUGAUGUGAUUUAGUUUGUUUCCUUCUCUGUUUUUUUCCCGUGGGGGAAAGCAGGCAACUGUUUUUUCCAGUGCUGAGUUGUAAUCUACAAAGCUGAUUUUGACAAAAAAUUAGCCUAUGAUCUCUUGAUGAAUGAUCAAAACAGAGAUACUACGUGUUCCCGACCUAAUGGGUAGCUGGUUAUCUGAUGAGUGCUCAUGGAAGAGAUUAUUAUCUCAUUUCUCAAUCACGGCUGGGAAGUCACCAGGACACUUUUGUGAAGGACAUCUAGCCAGCUCUGCUCACCUUGUGAAGCAUUGUCCCAGCACAGGUUAGCCCCUCUCCCUUUGGCAUAUCACAGCUGAGUUGCAGCUACUCAUAGACAUAGCCCAGAUAGAUA